GGGUGAGUAACACGUAUGCAACCUGCCCCCGCCAGGGGUACAACCCUCCGAAAGGGGGGCUGAUACCGCGUACAUCCCCUGGGGGCAUCCCCGGGGGAGGAAAGCCCUUUUGGGCGGGCGGGGAUGGGCAUGCGGCGCAUUAGGAAGACGGCGGUGUGACGGACCACCGUUCCGACGAUGCGUAGGGGUUCUGAGAGGAAGGCCCCCCACACUGGUACUGAGACACGGACCAGACUCCUACGGGAGGCAGCAGUGAGGAAUAUUGGUCAAUGGCCGGAAGGCUGAACCAGCCAAGCCGCGUGAGGGAGGAAGGCGCAGAGCGUCGCAGACCUCUUUUGCCGGGGGACAAAAGGCCGGACUCGUCCGGUCCUGAGGGUACCCGGAGAAAAAGCAUCGGCUAACUCCGUGCCAGCAGCCGCGGUAAUACGGAGGAUGCGAGCGUUAUCCGGAUUCAUUGGGUUUAAAGGGUGCGCAGGCGGGCCUUUAAGCCGGCGGUGAAAUCGCGGGGCUCAACCCCGCCGAGCCGUCGGAACUGGGGGCCUUGAGUGCGGCGGAGGCAUGCGGAAUGCGCGGUGUAGCGGUGAAAUGCAUAGAUAUCGCGCAGAACCCCGAUUGCGAAGGCAGCGUGCCGUGCCGCCACUGACGCUGAGGCACGAAAGCGCGGGGAUCGAACAGGAUUAGAUACCCUGGUAGUCCGCGCCGUAAACGAU
rnacentral:rRNA from 1 species